GCGCCUAUAGCUCAGUUGGUAGAGCGGACGUCUUAUACACGUCUGGUCCCUGGUUCGAGUCCAGGUAGGCGCA
rnacentral:tRNA from 1 species